GGCACAUGCUGGGUAGAGAUUAGGCAGCCCCAGGAAGAGGAGAAAAAAGAAAAAAAAAAAAACAUGUAAAAAGACCCAAAGCCCAAAGUUCACCAAACUGACGCUGAUCUCAUUUUGCAGAAGUCAGCCCGUUCUCCCCUCUCUGAGAGUGUUACUGUGCUUAAUAAGUCUCUUGCUGCUUUGCUACAUGUGUGUGUGUCACUUCCAAUUCUUUGUUAAAGACACCAAGAACCUGGGACUUCACAACACCAGCCGGUAACAAAGGAGAAGAUAGUCAUUGGACAAAAGGUGGGUCAUUCUCACGUUGACCAAGUUUCUGUUCCAGUAUCACCCUCCCAGUCCACAGGUCGAGAGGAACCAUACUUGAAGAAACAUACCUGAAGGGUUUCAUCCAUAUGUGGGCCUGAUUUGGAUGAUAAAAUCCUGCAUCUUGAGCCUGAUCUUGAUGCUGCCUGUGUUCUGAUGCCAUCAGGAGUUGAGAGUCUAGGGGUUUUAGAAAGGGUGAAUGUAUUUUCCCAUAGGCAAGGAACAUAAUCAAUGGCCAAAAUGUGCACUGUGACAGAUUAAAGGUUGCUACAAAUUCUCUGAUACCCUUCCAUUAAGAGGUAGGGCAGAUAUUCCCUCCCCUCAAAUCUGGGUGGGCUCCAUGACUUGCUUUGAUCAACAGAAAACGGCAGCAGUGAUGCUGGGCCAGUUGUUGGAUCCAGGCCUUAAGAACCAACAACUUCCACUUAAGUUCUCUUGGAACACUGAGUCCCUGACUACCCUAAUAUCAUGUUGGAAAGGCUACAUGUAGGCACUCUAGUUGCCAGUCCCAGCCAAGACCAGCUUUUCAGCCAUCCCCAUCACUAAAUUUGUAAAUGAAGCCAUCUGGAAUCUCCAGACCAGCUCAUUUGGCAGCUGGGUAUCAUCAAGUUAUCUCUGCUGACUCCACAUGGAACAAAGGAAUCACCCAGCUGAGCCCUAUUCAAACUAUUGACCAAAAAAAUAGUGAGACAUAAUAAAAUGAUGUUUUAAGCCAGUAAGUUUUAGGAUAAUCUGUUACAUAGCAAGAGAUAACCAGGACACUAACUAUACAUGCAUAGAGUAAACAGAGGUAGGCCUACUUUCCACAUUGAAUUGUGCUUUCUAAAGAGGUGAUGAUGAAUUACCUUUUUGUAAAGGUAAUACAUUUCAAAUGUGCUAAGGAUGCUUUCUCUUUUUCUUAUCCAUAAAACAUGCAGACAAUAGUCACUCUCUCCUUAGUUCAUAAGAAUUUUGAGAGGAACAAAGGAGAUAAUAUAUGUCAAAGGCAUCUGCAAAGCAUUUCUCACUAAGCAAAUGUAAGACAUUAUUACUUUUAUAGAAAUUUAAGUAAAAUACAGGGUUUUGUGCAAUUUAAAUAAUCACCUAGUUUCUAUCAACUUUGGAAGUUUAGCUAAUCACAUAUCUGAUUCUUCUACAUACUCAGGUAUUCAUACACAGGUAUAAAAUUGCUGUCCAAUAAACAUAGACUUUCUUCAGUACUAAAUUAAAGCAGUGCUUGUUAAUAAAAAAAUCAGUAAUACAUUUUAGCACAAUGUUGACAUGUAACACAUAUAUUUUAACUCAAAUAUGUAAAGCACAACUGGUAUUAGUUAAUUCAAUCAAGCAUGCAACUCUUGAAGGAGGUGGGAGGAUGCAGAAAACAGCUAGCUUGAAAUGGAAACCACCCCUGUGCUGUCGUUCUGCCUCAUCUUGGUUCAUGAUGUUCUCAUCUUUAUGCACACUGUGCAUAAAGGAGAGAGAUAAAGGGGUGUUAAAAUACUUUAUUCUGUAGCACAGAAUAAAGUGUUAUGAAAGUACAGAAGUAGACACGUGCAUUGUUUCUUGUUAGGAAACCUGAGACUGUGGAAAACUUGCUGAACUUCAGGUUACUGAACUCAAAUAUAAUGUGAUGUUUUAUGCUUUUAAUGAUAGUUCUUCCCUCUCAGAAACUUAGCAUGUAUAGUCUUUGAAAGGUCUUUUCCUAUAUUUACUAUCAAAAAGAAAGCUAAAAGCAUAUAAACACAUGAGCACACGUGCAUACAAAAAA
rnacentral:lncRNA from 1 species